UUUGCACCGUACUACAUGCGGAACUAUAUCGCCGCAGGUUCCACCCAAAAAUAUUUAGAAUAUUUUAUGUAAAUAUCAGGCCGCUGCCAACAUGAUGUUUCUAUUAUGUUUCAGGAGAAGUUUAGAUCUUUUUGGACAGUUAUUGCAGCCAACAGCCAACAUUCUAAAUGAGUAUAAAACAAUUCUAUGAGGUAAUAUAUCCCUCUGUGAUAAUAGUUUAACAUAUGGGCUACUCGUGGUUGCAUGCUAAAUUAUUGCUGGUAUCAACUUUAUUAUUAGUUUAGUUAUUAUUACAAGCAUCUCAAUUUUUCAGUCAAAUGCAUCUAAAAUGUUUCUUGAUUCACGCAUGUAUAUUUCAAAGAGGAAUGCAGCCUUGAGUAAAUGAAUAUUGCAAAGCUUAAUACCAGUCCCAAAAACUUGCUCUGGCCAGAGAAAGAGGCCAAUGUCUGGCGUGGUCUGUUCAAUCUACUACAUGUAAUUUGGUGUUCUAUUGUGCGCACCAUCAGUUUUUGUUGUUGUAUAAGUUCUACUUCAAAUAUGUGUAGCUAGACCCCGUCGAAGUGAUCUUUUUGUUUCUCGUCUCAUGUAACUGAAGAAAAUGAGAGAAGGUAUUGGACACUGGUCAUGUAUGUAGUCGGCAGAGCUGUUUUAUGCAAUGCCUAUUGUCACAAUAGCAUAUAUGUCUAUACGGGGAGGAGACCAAGAGAGUACAUCAGAAGCCAUUGAUUUGCCAUGGAAUAUUAAAAGCUUUCAGAUUACCUGUUCAUAUGAUGGUAUCCACAAGAAACUUCCUAUCCUGUAUGUUUUAGCAUGCUCCACACAAAUAUAUUAAUUAAUUUGUGUAGGUAUGCUUCUCCUUCUUUCAGUUCCUGAAUAAUUAUACCACCAUCUGUGUGGAGUAUUUUGUAGUGCUCCACACAAAUAGAUAAAUUAUUUUUUAUGAGUAUGCUUCUCCUUUUAUCAGCUCCUGAAGAAUUAUACUGAUGUCGUGUGCUUUAUUUGCAAGAUUUAUAUGACUUAAACAAGAACUUGUUAAAUAAUAUGAGUGCAUAUAAGUAGAUUGAUCUUGCCUCUUAUGUAGUCUGGUAGAUUUGGAAAGAAAGGAAUUGCAGAUUUUGUCUGGACAAAGAGAUGAAGCCAGAAAGGUAAAUGUCUCAAGUUCUACAGAAUGUUCGCCUCAUAUUGGAGGCAUUUGAAACAAGCCUUUGCUACUGUACAUCCAAGCUGGGUUCUUGAUGUUAAUUUCAUUUAUACGCAUAGUAAUAAAUUUUGCCCCUGGCUUCCUAAGCAUAUACUUUGUUCCUGGCUAGGAAUAAUUUCCGAGCAGUUUUACAAAUGGUGAAAAAGAAAGGGUUUUGUUUACUAUUUUUUAUGACCGUGGACUCAUGAGUUCAUAACAUAUAAUGUAUUAUUUGUGUUCAUUCCUUUAAUGUGGAUUAUAACAUGAUCUACCUUUGCAUAAACAUCGAGGACUACUUUUGGUUCAUAUUCAUGCAUCCACUUCUCGAUAUUGAGAUUUUUCACAUAUACUGAACUUGUCUUAGUCAGCCCAACUCAGCUGUAUGUGUGACAUUUAUAAGAUGACUCCGUAAAAUUCAUAGAAGACACUAUUCUUUUAUUCUGUUCUUUUGUUUCUUCCAGAUUUUGCUCUCCUCGCUUAUAUUUCGAUAUUGUUAAUUUGAUUAGAUGACUCGGUCGAUGAUGUUGGGCAUGUCCAUGGUAUCCAUUAAAAAACUUAAAAAAAGUCUUGCACCGGAAUAAAAUUAGAUAGCACACCACUUAUGAGUCGAAACAUAUGCAAGCCAAGCCGGUACCAUAAAAUUAGUAGAUUAGGUCCAUUCCAGCCGCUAAUUCUUUGUGCCAAUGCUAAGUAUGUGAUGAUCUUUCCACAAAAAAUCAAGUUUGUAUAGAGUGACCAAUGCUAAGUAUGUGAUAAGCUUGCACUGACUUUUAGUUACAUCUGAUGAUCUUUCCACAAAAAAUGUAUUAUAGAGUGUAAUAUUUACAGUGUGGGGAUGUUGGUGGCCAAGAAAGUUUAUGCCCUUGUGAAGACAUUACUAUGAAGUCCUAAGUUAUCCUGUAAAAAGGAUUCUUAUGAUACGCAUGGAUAAUACGAUUGAACCAACUGUUACCGGUGCAAUGCUUUUGGGGUCGACCAAAACAUUUAAAAAUGUUAAAUGUGGUUAUGUGAUAAAAUCAAGUAUGAAGGAGGAAGAGAUCAACACCAGCCGCGGCAACAAAGAUGACAGUGUGUCUCACUGAGCAUGAGCAAUGGCACACUCUUGUCGAGUACCUACCAAGAUGCUUCCCUGGUCAGACUUCGAGCACUUCCUCCUUGCCGCCGCCGCCUUGGCUAAUGUUGUUGUUUCCUCGGAUAAGCCGUAUCAGGUUGGUUCCAUUGCACUGCAAAUACUACCACUUCUAUUGGGCAACUAAAUUCAACUUGCAAGCACGGGAAAACAUGUACACCAAUGUUGUCGGGCGCGCGGAAGCCAAUUCCUUGGGUCACCCAUUGUACAUCUGCUGCUCUAACAGUAACCAUGCCUUGCUCCCAGUAAAUUUGAGCUCGCAGCCAUUUAGGUAGAUUCUUGUCAUGCUCACAUCUAGCAGCAAGAAAAAAGAGAAGCAGAUGACCAAACUGUAAUGUCUUAGUGGUAGUGUAGACCACCAAGAUAUGAUGCUCUAAUCCAAAAUAUUAUAGGAAUAUCUACUUACUUUAACCACUUUUCGUAAUUGGUAUUUAAUCCAUCUACAUGUAGAAACACGAAAUGCAGAUAUUGUUUUGUUGAGAAAUUUUAUGAUUUGCCCAAAUGAUUAUGGACCGUA